GAUGAACGCUGGCGGCGUGCUUAACACAUGCAAGUCGAACGAUGAAGCCCAGCUUGCUGGGUGGAUUAGUGGCGAACGGGUGAGUAACACGUGAGUAACCUGCCCUUAACUCUGGGAUAAGCCUGGGAAACUGGGUCUAAUACCGGAUAGGAGCGUCCACCGCAUGGUGGGUGUUGGAAAGAUUUAUCGGUUUUGGAUGGACUCGCGGCCUAUCAGCUUGUUGGUGAGGUAAUGGCUCACCAAGGCGACGACGGGUAGCCGGCCUGAGAGGGUGACCGGCCACACUGGGACUGCGACACGGACCAGACUCCUACGGGAAGCAGAAGUGGGGAAUAUUGCACAAUGGGAGCAAGCCUGAUGCAGCGACGCCGCGUGAGGGAUGACGGCCUUCGGGUUGUAAACCUCUUUCAGUAGGGAAGAAGCGAAAGUGACGGUACCUGCAGAAGAAGCACCGGCUAACUACGUG
rnacentral:rRNA from 1 species